GCUGCGGUGUCCCGAGUGGUUAGAGUUGGACUCGAAAUCCAAUGGACUCUGCCCGCACAGGUUCGAAUCCUGUCCGCAGCG
rnacentral:tRNA from 1 species